rnacentral:rRNA from 1 species
UUUAUGGAGAGUUUGAUCCUGGCUCAGGAUGAACGCUGGCGGCGUGCCUAAUACAUGCAAGUCGAGCGAACGGACGAGAAGCUUGCUUCUCUGAUGUUAGCGGCGGACGGGUGAGUAACACGUGGAUAACCUACCUAUAAGACUGGGAUAACUUCGGGAAACCGGAGCUAAUACCGGAUAAUAUUUUGAACCGCAUGGUUCAAAAGUGAAAGACGGUCUUGCUGUCACUUAUAGAUGGAUCCGCGCUGCAUUAGCUAGUUGGUAAGGUAACGGCUUACCAAGGCAACGAUGCAUAGCCGACCUGAGA